rnacentral:rRNA from 1 species
UACGGGGGGAGCAAGCGUUGUUCGGAUUUACUGGGCGUAAAGGGCGCGUAGGCGGUCGUGACAAGUCACUUGUGAAAUCUCCGGGCUUAACUCGGAACGGUCAAGUGAUACUGUCGGACUAGAGUACAGAAGGGGCAACUGGAAUUCCCGGUGUAGCGGUGAAAUGCGCAGAUAUCAGGAGGAACACCGAUGGCGAAGGCAGGUCUCUGGGCAUUAACUGACGCUGAGGAGCGAAAGCAUGGGGAGCGAACAGG